rnacentral:tRNA from 1 species
AGAAAAUUAGUUUAUAUAAAACAUUAACCUGUCAGAUUAAAAAAAUUAAUUAUAAUAUUUUCUU